AUUGAACGCUGGCGGCAGGCCUAACACAUGCAAGUCGAACGAGUGGCGGACGGGUGAGUAAUGUCUGGGAAACUGCCCGAUGGCGGGGGAUAACUACUGGAAACGGUAGCUAAUACCGCAUACUAUCGGAUGUGCCCAGAUGGGAUUAGCUAGUUGGUGGGGUAACGGCUCACCAAGGCGACGAUCCCUAGCUGGUCUGAGAGGAUGAUCAGCCACACUGGGACUGAGACACGGUCCAGACUCCUACGGGAGGCAGCAGUGGGGAAUAUUGCACAAUGGGCGCAAGCCUGAUGCAGCCAUGCCGCGUGUAUGAAGAAGGCCUUCGGGUUGUAAAGUACUUUCAGCGGGGAGGCGUUACCCGCAGAAGAAGCACCGGCUAACUCCGUGCCAGCAGCCGCGGUAAUUC
rnacentral:rRNA from 1 species